GGCCUUGAAGAGUUUCAAAACGAGGUUACACUUACUGCAAUACAGCACCAUGUGAAUCUGGUUAGAGGGAAGAAAAGAUGCUGAUAUAUGAGUACACGCCAAACAAAAGCUUGGAUCACUACGUCUUUGGUGGAGGUCUGUCAAUAUCUUGCAUCGGCUUUUGUUCUGGCCUGUAUUAACUUGCAAAAAUCCGAGGAAGCACCCUGUAUCUUUCUUUUACAAUUUCAAUUCACCAAAGCAGAGUAGUUUAAUACUUGAAUGUGACUGCCUUGGCUCCUUCUCUCUUUGAUCCAGCAUGGUGAUGAUAACAAUUGCAGAAGUAGUGCUGCUUGCAUACUGUCAUGCAGAUUUAACUUUUCUCAAUCAUUUUCUUUUUAUAUAUCUGUGUAGGAUAGGAUGCGUAUGAAGACCAAUGUUGUGAUAAGGGUUCUCUCAUGCAAUGUAAUUCGGAAUCAAGAUUUCUAGUUGAAUACGGCUGCUGGUACCAUGUCUCCCUUUGAACAUGGCGAGUUUUUUGUUCUUGAUGAUGGUGGAGAGAGUCCUUCAGUCAUGGAGUACAAAGCUCUGGGUUAAAUGUAAUUGUUCCCUGUCAUGUUUCUUCAAACUGUAUCAAAGGUAGUGGAUGAAGAUAUUGGAGAUGAUGAAACCAAGUUUUGUGCCUCUAUAGUCAUCUAAGAUCACAUAGGAUAUCAACAUGUAAUAAGGAAUUAUUUAGUUGGUUUUAAUUGUAGCUUAGUUAACUAUUGUCAUCUAGGAUUAGAUAAGAUUAGAAGGUAUAGCUAGGAAUUAGUUACUAGAAUGUGCUUGUAGUCAAGUAUAUUGUAAUGAGUAAUAGAUACAAUGACAUUUGUUUUGGGAUUGUAAAG